GUAGGUGGCAAGCGUUGUCCGGAAUUAUUAGGCGUAAAGCGCGCGCAGGCGGUCCUUUAAGUCUGAUGUGAAAGCCCACGGCUCAACCGUGGAGGGUCAUUGGAAACUGGGGGACUUGAGUACAGAAGAGGAAAGCGGAAUUCCAAGUGUAGCGGUGAAAUGCGUAGAGAUUUGGAGGAACACCAGUGGCGAAGGCGGCUUUCUGGUCUGUAACUGACGCUGAGGCGCGAAAGCGUGGGGAGCAAACAGGAUUAGAUACCCUGGUAGUCCACGCCGUAAACGAUGAGUGCUAAGUGUUAGGGGGUUUCCCGCCCCCCUUAGUGCUGCAGCUAACGCAUUAAGCACUCCGCCUGGGGGAGUACGGCCCGCAAGGCUG
rnacentral:rRNA from 1 species